GGCGUGAUAGCUCAGUAGGUAGAGCAACGGAUUGAAAAUCCGUGUGU
rnacentral:tRNA from 1 species